rnacentral:rRNA from 1 species
UUUCGAAGGACGCUAAUACCGCAUACGUCCUACGGGAGAAAGCAGGGGACCUUCGGGCCUUGCGCUAUCAGAUGAGCCUAGGUCGGAUUAGCUAGUUGGUGAGGUAAUGGCUCACCAAGGCGACGAUCCGUAACUGGUCUGAGAGGAUGAUCAGUCACACUGGAACUGAGACACGGUCCAGACUCCUACGGGAGGCAGCAGUGGGGAAUAUUGGACAAUGGGCGAAAGCCUGAUCCAGCCAUGCCGCGUGUGUGAAGAAGGUCUUCGGAUUGUAAAGCACUUUAAGUUGGGAGGAAGGGCAGUAAGUUAAUACCUUGCUGUUUUGACGUUACCGACAGAAUAAGCACCGGCUAACUCUGUGCCAGCAGCCGCGGUAAUACAGAGGGUGCAAGCGUUAAUCGGAAUUACUGGGCGUAAAGCGCGCGUAGGUGGUUCGUUAAGUUGGAUGUGAAAGCCCCGGGCUCAACCUGGGAACUGCAUCCAAAACUGGCGAGCUAGAGUACGGUAGAGGGUGGUGGAAUUUCCUGUGUAGCGGUGAAAUGCGUAGAUAUAGG